rnacentral:rRNA from 1 species
UAGCCGUAAACGAUACUCGCUAGGUGUCGGCCACAGUGCGACCGUUGUCGGUGCCGUAGGGAAGCCGUGAAGCGAGCCACCUGGGAAGUACGGCCGCAAGGCUGAAACUUAAAGGAAUUGGCGGGGGAGCACCACAACGGGUGGAGCUUGCGGUUUAAUUGGACUCAACGCCGGGAAGCUCACCGGAUAAGACAGCGGAAUGAUUGCCGGGCUGAAGACCCUGCAUGACCAGCUGAGAGGUGGUGCAUGGCGUAGUCGUGU